GUGGGGAAUAUUGGACAAUGGGCGAAAGCCUGAUCCAGCCAUGCCGCGUGAGUGAUGAAGGCCCUAGGGUUGUAAAGCUCUUUCAGUGGGGAAGAUAAUGACGGUACCCACAGAAGAAGCCCCGGCUAACUUCGUGCCAGCAGCCGCGGUAAUACGAAGGGGGCUAGCGUUGUUCGGAUUUACUGGGCGUAAAGCGCACGUAGGCGGAUUGUUAAGUCGAGGGUGAAAUCCCAGGGCUCAACCCUGGAACUGCCUUCGAUACUGGCAAUCUUGAGUCCGGAAGAGGUGAGUGGAACUCCUAGUGUAGAGGUGGAAUUCGUAGAUAUUAGGAAGAACACCAGUGGCGAAGGCGGCUCACUGGUCCGGUACUGACGCUGAGGUGCGAAAGCGUGGGGAGCAAACAGGAUUAGAUACCCUUGUAGUCC
rnacentral:rRNA from 1 species